UACGGAGGAUGCAAGCGUUAUCCGGAUUUAUUGGGUUUAAAGGGUGCGUAGGCUGUGGGGAAAGUCAGGGGUGAAAGCCCGGCGCUUAACGCCGGAACUGCCUUUGAUACUUCUCCGCUGGAAUACGGAUGCCGUGGGAGGAAUGAGUAGUGUAGCGGUGAAAUGCAUAGAUAUUACUCAGAACACCGAUUGCGAAGGCAUCUCACGAAUCCGUCAUUGACGCUGAGGCACGAAAGCGUGGGGAUCAAAC
rnacentral:rRNA from 1 species